rnacentral:rRNA from 1 species
GAUGAACGCUGGCGGCGUGCCUAAUACAUGCAAGUCGAGCGAACGGACGAGAAGCUUGCUUCUCUGAUGUUAGCGGCGGACGGGUGAGUAACACGUGGAUAACCUACCUAUAAGACUGGGAUAACUUCGGGAAACCGUAGCUAAUACCGGAUAAUAUUUUGAACCGCAUGGUUCAAAAGUGAAAGACGGUCUUGCUGUCACUUAUAGAUGGAUCCGCGCUGCAUUAGCUAGUUGGUAAGGUAACGGCUUACCAAGGCAACGAUGCAUAGCCGACCUGAGAGGGUGAGCGGCCACACUGGAACUGAGACACGGUCCAGACUCCUACGGGAGGCAGCAGUAGGGAAUCUUCCGCAAUGGGCGAAAGCCUGACGGAGCAACGCCGCGUGAGUGAUGAAGGUCUUCGGAUCGUAAAACUCUGUUAUUAGGGAAGAACAUAUGUGUAAGUAAAUGUGCACAUCUUGACGGUACCUAAUCAGAAAGCCACGGCUAACUACGUG